rnacentral:pre_miRNA from 1 species
AAAAAAUACAGUUUUGCAUUAUUCAUAUCCAACGUUUGACUAUUCGUUUUAUUUGAAUUUUUUUUAUAAUUAGUAUUUUUAUUAUUAUUAGAUGAUAGAACAUAAAUAAUACUUUAUAUGUGACUAUUUUUUUAUAAAUUUUUUAAAUAAGAUGGAUAGUCAAAUGUUGGACACGGAUACCCACGGCUGCACUUAUU